AAAAGUGUAGCUCAGACGGAAGAGCACUUGCCCUGCACGCUAGGGGUCACCGGUUCGACUCCGGUUACUUUUA
rnacentral:tRNA from 1 species